GAUCUGUUUGUUGAGGCUCUGGUGUUGCUCCUGGAACGAAGGAUUACAUGCAUGUGCGCAUCUAAGAGCGCAACGAUAGAAAGACUCUGACUACAGUCCAGGGUCUGAAUAUGAAGAAGAAAUUCUGCUGCAAUGGUACUGUAGUUCAGGACCCAGAGCUAGGUCAGGUCAUUCAGCUCCAAGGUGAUCAACACAAGAACGCCCUCACGUAAAACUACUAUAUCUUAGACGUAGUGUUUUUAUUGUUGUUUUAUGUGGUACCAUUGAUUGUUCAGUUUGGAUCUUCUUUUUUAUUAAUAUAAUUGGGUAUUUGGCAACUCUGCUGCUUGGUUUGCUUAAAAAAGAACUCGGUAUCGAUGUAAAGUAACACACUGGUAAAGAAAUGGGCGCCAACCCACCAUGUCUUCAUUCUGAGCAAGAAUUAUAAAAGAAACAAUAUGCAAAUUAUCAGUCACACAACCAUUGGCUGGUUUCAAAUUCCCAUACAUGACUGCUGCAUUCUCAUAAUCUUCAACCAUACUGAACAAACAAGAUAACUAUAAUUCAACACCAGAAUAUCUUGUAGUGUGUAACAUGAUCAUGCACUUGUACGGAUCCUGUAGUGUGCAAAUUAUAUUGGUAGGUUUCAAAUUCCCAUGGAUUUUUAUUGAGUUUGGCCUGUUGUGUUUAGGAUGGAUUUGGUCUAUUCUGCCUCCAACGAUUCGGUAGCAGUGAGCAUUUGCUAUCGAUUUUCACUUGGCAACUUUGUUGGUUUCUUUUAUUUGCCAUAGGUCCACCAUAGUGCAGAAAUUGCUUGUGUGUAUUUCCUGUCUCAGGUAAGCAUCACAGCCGCAGAGUGGGUGCUGAGCAGCAGUACAGUAGAAUUAUUUAUCGUUUUGUACCUAGGUUUGCUCGCUCUUUCUCUUCCCUUCCUGCUUGAUAAUUCCUGAAUUCUGUUAGGCCUUGUGCUAUUUUAUUUUUGUUCAAAAAUGCAUGGCUUUAAUUUAAUAGAAUUGUCUUUUGAAUUACUACUCUCAGGACAAGUCCAGUUGAGUUUGUUGUCCCUGUAGAACUCCUUCAACUGGUUUUAUAAGCAGAACACAAUGUUCAAACUCGCAGAAUGGACAUGCUAUUUUUGUCCAUCGAGGAAUCCAACAGUUAAAUAUUAUGCAUUUAGCUCACAAGGAAUUAUAAGACAAUGAUCUGUUAGAUGCAUUAAUCUAGGUAGCUAUUUACUUUAAGUGCAUUUUGACUAACGAUUUGUUGCUAUGUUCCUGAGGAUCUAUGGAUAUCUGCUUUCCUGUUGGCACUAAGGUUUGCUCCCAUCCCUGCCUUCUUUUAUACCAUGUUUGCAAAGAAUUACCAUUUUACCUGCUAUUUUUGUUUGCUAUUCUUAAGGAAGCCAACAGGAAAUUUUGGACUACUGCCUAGAUUAAUGCUCGAGAAAAAAGGUGCAUGACAUCAAUAUUGCUAUUCUAUUUGUUCUAUAGAAUCUUAUAUGGAAACGUGCAUUACACAGUCCCAGCCUCCUAGAGACUAUAGCUUUUCAUUCACUACACUAAACCAGUUAACUUCCUUCACACCGGUGCACCCAAGACAUGGUAUGCAGUCCCUGGGGAUCGAGCCUCAGAGCUAGAGGAAGUUAUUCAUGUACAUGGAUAUGGAGGAAACCCUGACUGCCUUGCAUCGCUGGCAGUGCUUGGGGAGAAUACAACAUUGAUGUCUCCAGAUGUUCUUGUAGCCCAUGGUGUGCCCUGCUGUAGGUACAAGCUCAGAAAUGGCCAGCGUUUCCAUUGGGUCAAAUGUUCAUGAUAUUAUUUAGACAUCAGAUUCAUAUGAAUUCUUUGCUGAUAUGUACUGUUUCAGGUUAGUACAGUAUCCUGGAGCGUUUGUGGUGACAUUCCCAAGGGCAUACCACAUUGGGUUUAGUCAUGGUUAGUUAUGCCAUUGAACUAAUGAUGCCUUUUUGGCACAGCUUUAUUGAAUUAAUUGUGAUGUGCUAUUUGUUAACUAUGUUAAUUCCAGCUUUGCUAGAUUUUCACCUUCAUGGUAUGAGCAGUAUAAACAAAAUAUAAUGGUUUCAUGGACAAUCCUUAAACGGAUCAGUGCUCCCCUCAUCAGUUAUAUAACAAACUAAGGAUGCUCGAGAUAUUAUGUAUAUUACUAACGAUCAUUUUGAUGAUACUGGAUUUCUCUUUACUUAGUUUACUAAAGCUAGAUUGCUUGUUUUUCCUGUUGAUAGAGCAGUUCACAUGUGCAGUUAAGGAUAGUUUGAAGUUAUAUAACAAACUGAGGGUGCUCGAGAUAACAUAUAUAGUACUAACGAUCAAUUUGAUGAUUCUGAACUUCUCUUCACUAAAGCUAGAUUGCUUGUUUUCCCUGUUGACAUAAUAGUUCCCAUGUGCAAUUAACAAGAUUCUACGCCAUGUUCAUUUGUUCAUACCAUUUUUAUCAAUUUUAUUUCUUUUACUUAUAGAAGCACACAUCUAUAAGUGAAUGGUGUUCAAUGAGGUAAACAACUAAGCAUAGACCUUGGAUAUCAUCUUGAAGGUUCUUUCUUUUUGAGAAAGGAUGCAUAACGAACUAAAUGAUCCAAUGUCUGUCAAGUACUUUGGUGGUGGUAUGAAGAUAACUCCAACGUGAUCAUCAUUCAUUUUAUAAUUUUUGUCUUGUAUAUAUUAGGACAUUGUCGUCUUUUUAACUCAUGUGGUUCUUUAUAGGUUGUUAUUCUUUAUGAUUCAAAUGGUAUGACUUUCUUUUGAAGCAACACAGUCUCUAUGGAGGCACACAUCUAUCAGUGAAUGGUGUUUCAUCAAUGAGGUGAAUGCAAGUCGAAGCCUGCAUCCACUUCCUCAUCGGCUUGCUCCACCACGGUGCCGACGCCAACGAUGUCGUCCGUGUGCCAGGUCUUUGUUCAGGCCCAUCGCUGGCGAUGAACAACUCUCGGUUCAUCCCCUCCUCUUUUUUCCUUCUGCUUCUGGAAAAAUAUAGAAGCCAUGAUUUCAAUGUUCCUCUGAAUUUGUGCAUAGUUGCAAUGACCAAUUAUGUUUUGACAAAUGUGAUUAGUAAUGUUAAUGAGGAAACAGGAAACUGAACAGAUCCUUAUUUUGCCAAUCUCAGAUUCAUUUUCCUGUUUGAUAAUUGUCGUACUGGUACAAAUAUAGAGCCAACAAAUUCUGUAGAUUUGUUGCAUGUCUUUGUUAGUCUGUCUACCUCCAUUGUACAUUUGUACAAACAACACAGUUUGUCCUGAAGUGUAAGGUAUAGUUCAUAGUGUUUGUGUUCAAUUAUGUUUAGUCUCUAGCCAUCAGGCAAGCCCUUCCACUGGAACUCAUCUUGCUAGCCAUUUUUUCAUCAUAUUCGGCAACCUAACAAAGGAAGAGGAGUGCAAUGGAUUUAAAAAUUUAGUAUUGGGUAUUACACAGUAUUAAACCCACAUGAUUUUUUCUAAGUAAAACCAAAAAACAUUUUAGUAAAACUAUGUACAAUAGAAAUACACUUAUUUCCAUUCUUCAAAGUGAAAAUAAUGAUCAACAGCUACUUUUGUCCUUCGUAUAUAAUGCCAUCAAAUUUUAGUGUGUCUGUGAGACAUCAUGUUGAAAUGAUGAUUUCACACCCUUCUCAUCCGAGACCUGCCUUGAAAAAGGGAUACAGACAACAAAUACAUCAUCUAUUUUUAUUUUUGAGCUAUUGAUAGUCAGCCAUUCAACCUUCAGACUGAACCAAUACAAACAUUUUAGUUUUGAUGGAAACAACUUUAAUGUAUCAAAGGACUAGAAUAAAUUCUUUUGACAUUUCUGAAGUGCUAAAAGAAGUACCGGUACCAAGUACACUAAGGGGCUCAUAUAUAUUCCGUAGAAGCAAAAUCUUGUUACCUAUUGCAGGUUCUGUAUUCCAAUGCCAACAAACAGUGCAUGCUUCACUCCAGGCUCAAAUAGGUUAGCCUAUCUUGGACCUUUAGUAACUGCCUCAGAUGGAUGCAUCAUCACAUGACCAGCAGCACAUUACUCCAUCAUUUCCUUAGAUUCCGCGCAAGAAAUAAAGAUGUAAUAAUUACACUAAUGACAUGUAAGUCUGCUUGGUUGCCCUGGUCAGGCAGCACCAUCCCACUCUAGGCGUAUUAGAAAUUAGACCACAACUGCAAAUGAAAUGAGACAUCCCUUGAAAAAAGAAAUGUGGCUCCUUUUAGCAUCACAUUCAUGCUUUCUCUUUUAGCAUCAAUCGUCGCGAAAGAAAAAGUUUUGGCUAAUAUAAGU